rnacentral:lncRNA from 1 species
UAGCACUUAAUUACCAAACACGUGAUGCUACGGUUGAGAAACUUAACUAACGCGUGCUUGGAUCAUGAGAUCAUGGUAAACACGGCACGGCUUGGAUCACGGUGAUGGGUCUCGGACUCCGACGGUGUGAACUACAUCUCCGGUGACACGCCUCAGCUCUCCGGUGACAUGGCCUACUCCUGCACUAGUUCACGGCUGAUGGCGGUGGAGAUCAACGAUCGAUGGUGAUGAGACGCGACAACUCCGAACGUCAUCUCAUCCUCCUCUUGGCUCCACUACACAACGCCAACAAGAGGAUGCUCCAUGACAAUAGCUACCCUUCCGGUGAUGAACCAUGGCUCCGGUGAAAUGAGGUGAGAUGGCUCACGGUUGCGGAUACGUUACUUCUUCGACAUCAAAUGUACGAAACCACAAGAAGAAUAAAAGGGGAGAUGAGGAGAUGGGAGGGAGAUGAAGCAUGAGAGAUUGAUCAAGGUGGAUGAGCUCUCUCUCUCAAACAAUGAUGACGGCUAUGGAACGACGAAGAGAAUAUGUACGCUAAUAUAUACUUAGGUCUAAGCACACGUACACGAUCACCCUAAAAAAACCAAUUAUGGUUUGGUUUAAUGAAAAACAAAUUUAAACCGGGAUUUAGAAAACCGGGUCGUUACACAGGGAUAUGGCCCUGGAGUCUUGUUUGGACUAGCGAUUGGACAAGUCUUUUAUUCAUACAAACCGGUGCUGUUCUUCAAGUUGUUUCGCUUUUGAAAAUGGAAGUUUUUGAAUUUGGUGUUGUUGAAAUAAGUUGUAAGGUUUUUGUAACUCUUCCCACUUAGAUAUGUAUUUGUGUGUUUAAAAAAACAAAAUGUGUUGUGAGUGAUAUCUAUAAGUUAUUUCAUGAAAUGAAGUUCAGCCAUACGUAAGUUUUUCUUUUCUUUUUUACUAUUUCAUUGUUAGUUUACUCAUGUGUUGUUGAUCAUUCAUCCUUACACAAACAUGAAAACAGAGGGGGUAUACUCUGUUCUUCUUUAAAGACUGUCUACUCGCUUAUUAAAGUUUUUUUUUUGUAGCCGUUCCGGCAUAGACAUGUAUGUGUGUAUGAGUAAUAUCGAUAAGUUAUCAUCCCAUGAAAUAAAGUUAAAUAAUUUAUCCGUAAUUAAAAUAAAGUUGUUUUGGCUGCAAAACCAUAUCAUACAUACCAACGUUCUUCUUCAAUAUCUCUUCCCCAUUCCUUCGUCCUGAUCAAUUAAGUAAUUAAGAAAAUUCCUCUAAGAAAACUUUGACCAAAAAAAUCCUUUUAAACUUUUGUCCUAGCGAGGUGCACACUCGCUGCCCACUAACAGGCCCAAAACACCACUGAAUAUGUGCUCGGUAACACAUGCCCGUAGACGAUUUAUCGACCUCGAAGCCUUGGCACAACAGGUCGACUAAGCUGUGCCGCAGCAUACACCACACCCAAUGUACUGGUCUCCGGCCGACACACAGAAUUACGUCUCCAUGGUCGGCUAACACCCAAAUCACCUCAAUAUACUAUAUACAUAUAUAUUAUCAAUUAUAAAUGAACAAGCACUGUUGAACCAUCUAACACCCUAGUUCCAGUUUAAGCAAAGAGCCUAAAACUAAACAAGCAAUGACAUACUCGAUUUCACACAGACGGAACACAUUAGAAACAAAUUAUACUUAUUCGAGGUCCUAAGCCGUGUAAGAGAAGUUCGGGAAAAGACCCUCACCUUAGCCAAGAUCGGAAAUGGUUCGGUAAAUGCUCGGGAACUCUAGGCUUUAAAUGGAAUUACUUGUCUUACAAGUCACACCUACAAUCCAUGGUUGAUUCCUACGCAUAGCCAAUUAGGAAUUAUAAUACUUAGGUUAAUUGCACCACAAGUAAUAAAUAUGAUAGCACUUAAUUACCAAACACGUGAUGCUACGGUUGAGAAACUUAACUAACGCGUGCUUGGAUCAUGAGAUCAUGGUAAACACGGCACGGCUUGGAUCACGGUGAUGGGUCUCGGACUCCGACGGUGUGAACUACAUCUCCGGUGACACGCCUCAGCUCUCCGGUGACAUGGCCUACUCCUGCACUAGUUCACGGCUGAUGGCGGUGGAGAUCAACGAUCGAUGGUGAUGAGACGCGACAACUCCGAACGUCAUCUCCUCCUCCUCUUGGCUCCACUACACAACGCCAACAAGAGGAUGCUCCAUGACAAUAGCUACCCUUCCGGUGAUGAACCAUGGCUCCGGUGAAAUGAGGUGAGAUGGCUCACGGUUGCGGAUACGUUACUUCUCCGACAUCAAAUGUACGAAACCACAAGAAGAAUAAAAGGGGAGAUGAGGAGAUGGGAGGGAGAUGAAGCAUGAGAGAUUGAUCAAGGUGGAUGAGCUCUCUCUCUCAAACAAUGAUGACGGCUAUGGAACGAGGAAGAGAAUAUGUACGCUAAUAUAUACUUAGGUCUAAGCACACGUACACGAUCACCCUAAAAAAAACAAUUAUGGUUUGGUUUAAUGAAAAACAAAUUUAAACCGGGAUUUAGAAAACCGGGUAGCUACAGUCA